AGGGAUGGGGGGAAUCGAGGUGGUGUGGUGCUGGUGGCCACCGGCAGCUUCAAUCCCCCCACCUACAUGCACCUGCGCAUGUUCGAGCUUGCAAAGGACGAGCUGCAGCAGCGAGGGUACUGUGUUUUGGGUGGAUACAUGUCGCCGGUGAACGACGCCUACAAGAAGAAGGACCUCUUGCCGGCUGCUCACCGGGUUCGCCUCUGCGAAUUGGCGUGCCGAAGCUCGUCUUUCGUGAUGGUUGAUCCCUGGGAGGCAAUGCAGAAAGGUUAUCAGCGCACCUUGACCGUUCUAUCUCGAGUUAAGAACUCUCUAUGCAAGGAUGGCUUAGCUGAUCAAGGUGGUGUCAAGGCAAUGCUUUUGUGUGGUUCUGACCUUCUCGAGUCAUUCAGCACGCCAGGGGUUUGGAUUCCAGAUCAGGUCAGGGCCAUAUGUAAAGACUUUGGUGUUGUCUGUAUUCGUAGGGAAGAAAAAGAUGUUCAAAAGCUAAUAUCCAGCAGCGAGACACUGCAAGAAUGCAGGGAUAACAUCAUUUCGGUUGAUGAGAUUGUGCCAAAUCAGAUCAGUUCAUCCAGAGUAAGAGAAUGUAUAAGAAAACAUCUCUCGAUAAAGUAUCUUACUUGCGACGAAGUAAUCGGGUACAUUAGAGAGCACAGACUGUACAUGGAAACUGGAGAGAGUGAUACCAGAUCAUGA
rnacentral:rRNA from 1 species